rnacentral:rRNA from 1 species
UACGAAGGGGGCUAGCGUUGCUCGGAAUUACUGGGCGUAAAGGGCGCGUAGGCGGACAGUUAAGUUGGGGGUGAAAGCCCGGGGCUCAACCUCGGAAUUGCCUUCAAUACUGGCUGUCUUGAGUGUGAGAGAGGUGUGUGGAACUCCGAGUGUAGAGGUGAAAUUCGUAGAUAUUCGGAAGAACACCAGUGGCGAAGGCGACACACUGGCUCACUACUGACGCUGAGGCGCGAAAGCCAGGGGAGCGAACGGG